rnacentral:rRNA from 1 species
CCAGACUCCUACGGGAGGCAGCAGUGAGGAAUAUUGGUCAAUGGGCGCGAGCCUGAACCAGCCAAGUCGCGUGAGGGAUGACGGCCCUACGGGUUGUAAACCUCUUUUGUCGGGGAGCAAAUUCCGUUACGUGUAACGGAGUCGAGAGUACCCGAAGAAAAAGCAUCGGCUAACUCCGUGCCAGCAGCCGCGGUAAUACGGAGGAUGCGAGCGUUAUCCGGAUUUAUUGGGUUUAAAGGGUGCGUAGGCGGCCGAUGAAAGCAGGGGAAGAAGGCGGGGCCGCCCCCCCCGCCCGCCGUUGAAACUGACGGUCUUGAGUGGGCGAGAAGUAUGCGGAAUGCGUGGUGUAGCGGUGAAAUGCAUAGAUAUCACGCAGAACUCCGAUUGCGAAGGCAGCAUACCGGCGCCCAACUGACGCUGAAGCACGAAAGCGUGGGUAUCGACCAGGAUUAGAUACCCGUGUAUA